rnacentral:rRNA from 1 species
UAGGGAAUAUUGCAAAAUGGGCGAAAGCCCGAUGCAGCAACGCCGCGUGGGCGAUGAAGGCCUUCGGGUCGUAAAGCCCUUUUUGAGGGGAUGAGGAAGGACAGUACCCUCAGAAUAAGCCUCGGCUAACUACGUGCCAGCAGCCGCGGUAAAACGUAGGAGGCGAGCGUUAUCCGGAUUUACUGGGCGUAAAGCGCGUGCAGGCGGAUUGGAGAGUUGGAUGUGAAAGCUCCCGGCUUAACUGGGAGAGGUCGUUCAAUACUUCCAGUCUUGAGUGCAGUAGAGGGAAGUGGAAUUCCGGGUGUAGUGGUGAAAUGCGUAGAUAUCCGGAGGAACACCAGUGGCGAAAGCGGCUUCCUGGACUGUAACUGACGCUCAGACACGAAAGCUAGGGUAGCAAACG